GACGAACGCUGGCGGCGUGCUUAACACAUGCAAGUCGAACGGAAAGGCCCUGCUUUUGUGGGGUGCUCGAGUGGCGAACGGGUGAGUAACACGUGAGUAACCUGCCCUUGACUUUGGGAUAACUUCAGGAAACUGGGGCUAAUACCGGAUAGGAGCUCAUGCAGCAUGGUGGGGGUUGGAAAGUUUCGGCGGUUGUGGAUGGACUCGCGGCUGAUCAGCUAGUUGGUGGGGUAGUGGCUUACCAAGGAUUUGACGGGUAGCCGGCCUGAGAGGGUGGCCGGCCACAUUGGGACUGAGAUACGGCCCAGACUCCUACGUGAGGCAGCAGUGGGGAAUAUUGCACAAUGGGCGGAAGCCUGAUGCAGCAACGCCGCGUGCGGGAUGACGGCCUUCGGGUUGUAAACCGCUUUCGCCUGUGACGAAGCGUGAGUGACGGUAAUGGGUAAAGAAGCACCGGCUAACUACGUG
rnacentral:rRNA from 1 species